rnacentral:piRNA from 1 species
AUGGUGUUUACUCUCAGUGCC